rnacentral:miRNA from 1 species
UACCCUGUAGAACCGAAUUUGUGUUAAUAUAUUACAAUCGCAAGUACGUCUCUACAGGA